ensembl:snoRNA SNORA70 Small nucleolar RNA SNORA70
AUGCAGCUAAUUAAGCUGAUCAUAUUCUUCUCCUCAUGGGGCCUGGUGUGGAAUAGUUCUACACAGAUUCCUUGGGAGAAUCUGUAGCCUGCUGCUUAUAUAAGUUGUCCUAAGGGACACUAGAGACAGCC